AGAGUUUGAUCCUGGCUCAGGAUGAACGCUAGCGACAGGCUUAACACAUGCAAGUCGAAGGGCAGCGGGAGUGGUGCUCGCACUACUCGCCGGCGACUGGCGCACGGGUGAGUAACACGUAUGCAACCUGCCCUCCGCAGGGGGACAACCUUCCGAAAGGGAGGCUAAUCCCGCGUAUAUUCUCCGGGGGCAUCCCCGGGGGAGGAAAGAAUUAUUCGGCGGAGGAUGGGCAUGCGGCGCAUUAGGCAGUUGGCGGUGCAACGGACCACCAAACCGACGAUGCGUAGGGGUUCUGAGAGGAAGGUCCCCCACACUGGUACUGAGACACGGACCAGACUCCUACGGGAGGCAGCAGUGAGGAAUAUUGGUCAAUGGGCGGGAGCCUGAACCAGCCAAGCCGCGUGAGGGAAGAAGGCCCUACGGGUCGUAAACCUCUUUUGUCAGGGAACAAAAGGAGCCACGUGUGGCUCUCCGAGCGUACCUGAAGAAAAAGCAUCGGCUAACUCCGUGCCAGCAGCCGCGGUAAUACGGAGGAUGCGAGCGUUAUCCGGAUUUAUUGGGUUUAAAGGGUGCGUAGGCGGCAAGUCAAGUCAGCGGUAAAAGCCCGGGGCUCAACCCCGGCGAGCCGUUGAAACUGACGGGCUAGAGACGGCGAGAGGUACGCGGAAUGCGCAGUGUAGCGGUGAAAUGCAUAGAUAUUGCGCAGAACUCCGAUUGCGAAGGCAGCGUACUGGCGCCGGACUGACGCUGAGGCACGAAAGCGUGGGGAUCGAACAGGCUUAGAUACCCUGGUAGUCCACGCAGUAAACGAUGAAUGCCGGCUGUCCGGGGCGAAUGGGUCCUGGGCGGCGAAGCGAAAGCGAUAAGCAUUCCACCUGGGGAGUACGCCGGCAACGGUGAAACUCAAAGGAAUUGACGGGGGCCCGCACAAGCGGAGGAACAUGUGGUUUAAUUCGAUGAUACGCGAGGAACCUUACCCGGGCUCAAACGGAAGAGGACAGGGGCGGAGACGCCCCCUCCUUCGGGUCUCUUCCGAGGUGCUGCAUGGUUGUCGUCAGCUCGUGCCGUGAGGUGUCGGCUUAAGUGCCAUAACGAGCGCAACCCCUGUCGGCAGUUGCUAACGGGUAAAGC
rnacentral:rRNA from 1 species